AGAGUUUGAUCAUGGCUCAGAAUGAACGCUGGCGGCGNNNUUAACACAUGCAAGUCGUGCGCGAAGGUGGCUUCGGCUGCCGGAGAGCGGCGAACGGGUGAGUAACACGUGGGUAAUCUGCCUGGGAGCGGGGGAUAACCUGGGGAAACUCGGGCUAACACCGCAUACGUCGUCUGGGACACGUCCUGGACGGGAAAACUGGCCUCUGCUUGCAAGCUAGUGCUCCCAGAGGAGCCCGCGGAUUAGCUAGUUGGUGAGGUAAUGGCUCACCAAGGCGACGAUCAGUAGCCGGCCUGAGAGGGUGAUCGGCCACACUGGGACUGAGACACGGCCCAGACUCCUACGGGAGGCAGCAGUGGGGAAUAUUGGACAAUGGGCGCAAGCCUGAUCCAGCAACGCCGCGUGGAGGAUGAAGGUCUUCGGAUCGUAAACUCCUGUCAGAUGGGACGAAGGCAACGGAGGUGAACACGCUGUUGCUUGACGGUACCGUCAGAGGAAGCCCCGGCUANNUCCGUGCCAGCAGCCGCGGUAAUACGGAGGGGGCGAGCGUUAUUCGGAAUUAUUGGGCGUAAAGGGCGCGUAGCGGCCCGCUAAGUCAAAGGUGAAUCCCUCGGCUCACUGAGGAACUGCCUUUGAGACUGUCGGGCUUGAGGCCGGGAGGGGGUAGCGGAAUUCCCAGUGUAGCGGUGAAAUGCGUAGAUAUUGGGAGGAACACCAGUGGCGAAGGCGGCUACCUGGACCGGUUCUGACCUGAUGCGCGAAAGCGUGGGUAGCAAACAGGAUUAGAUACCCUAGUAGUCC
rnacentral:rRNA from 1 species